GUGGCCUUGCUGCCACGAUCCACUGAGAUUCAGCCCUUUGUCGCUAAGAUUCGACCCUACCCCCUAAAUCACUCAAAAAAAACAAUCCCCAAUUCUACACAAGUGUUUCUACACUAACAAAGCAACAGCUCCUUAACGAAUUCCCAACUUUACACGAGCUCGUCUCCCGAGGUUAAAUGUUAUUACUUGGUAAGAUUCCGGACCUCGCCAAGUGUUUUGAAAACCCGCAACGCUCGCAAAGGUGCAUAGUGAGAAUAAUAAGUGAAGAGACAGACUUGUCCAAAACGCCCACCGCGAAGGUGCAUAGUGAAGAAAGAGUAGAGUCAAGAGAUAGACUUGUUCAAAAAGAAACAGAAGAGAAUGCUUGGGGUUACACUCACGAAGGUGCAUAGUGAGAAGAGUAAGUCAAGAGACAGACUUGUUCAAAAAGAAACAAAAGAGAAUGCUUGGGGAGAUAGAAGUGUGAGAUAGUUCUCAAGCUAAGAAAGUUGUAAAAGCUAAGAACUAGCAUCAAAUGAUGGAUGAAACACAAGGUAGUUGUUGAAAAGUCAAACACUUGGUGAUAUGAACACAAACGUUCAAUAUGACAACCCCAUGCCAAGUAAAGAGAAAAUGAAAACUGGUGAUUGUUGCGGAAAUCGUCCAGGAUUCCUCGACCAAGAACUUGAAAUCGUCGAGGGGAAAAAAAUCGGUUCCGAGGAAUCGUCGAUCCGGACUUGGAAUCGUCGAGAAAAGUUUACCGGGUCCGAGGAAUCGUCCGAGAAAGUUUACCGGGUCCGAGGAUUUGUCGAC
rnacentral:misc_RNA from 1 species